GGUGGAGAACACAAUCUUCUGUGUGGAAAUACCUAGUCUGAGGCUUUCACCAGCGUACAACCAAAAACAGGAGCAUGCACAGCUUCUGAAACAGGUAAGCAGGGUCCUCUCCAGGUUCUGUUGGUGACCCAAACAGUGGUCAAGUGUAAGGGAAGAAUCCCAAGGGAGUCUCCAGAGGACGUCAACCCUGACCCAGAAGAAGGACCGGCAGUCCACCAUCAGCAACAGCUGCAACAAAGGAGAACCCAGAACGCUGGGAAGUUGAACCCCUUGACGGGUUAAAAACUUUGUUCUAAAGGGUAAAAGGAGAUUGAACCAUGGGAAUAUCUGUUAAUCAUGAACUUUUAGCUUUUGGUGCUCUGAUGCUUUUUGGAUUUUGUAUUAAUAUGAUCCCCUCCUACUCCUCUGUUGUUGUAUACAAUGGGUCCCAUACUGUUUAAACCGGACGUUGACAUAUUAAAAAAAGAAGAAGAAGAAGAAGAAUCUAUAUCCCGGGUGAGAUAUCAUCAUACCAGAAGGGGCUAAGGAAUUAGUCCCCACUAAAAGAAAGGGUGGAAUUGAUAUAAUUGAUUAACUUAUAAAACUAAUCUAGUCAUGCUGAAAGGUUUAAAACACACAACACGAUAAAAGCAUGAUAAAGGAUAAGAAGGAAUUUCCUCCCCAGCUCUACCUACAUACCAAUGAGAU